rnacentral:rRNA from 1 species
UGCCAGCCGCCGCGGUAAUACGAAGGGACCUAGCGUAGUUCGGAAUUACUGGGCUUAAAGAGUUCGUAGGUGGUUGAAAAAGUUGGUGGUGAAAUCCCAGAGCUUAACUCUGGAACUGCCAUCAAAACUUUUCAGCUAGAGUUUGAUAGAGGAAAGCAGAAUUUCUAGUGUAGAGGUGAAAUUCGUAGAUAUUAGAAAGAAUACCAAAUGCGAAGGCAGCUUUCUGGAUCUGUACUGACACUGAGGUGCGAAAGCGUGGGUAGCGAACAGGAUUAGAUA